GCGGGAAUAGCUCAGCUGGCUAGAGCGUCAGCCUUCCAAGCUGAGGGUCGCGGGUUCGAAUCCCGUUUCCCGCU
rnacentral:tRNA from 4 species